AGUGAACGCUGGCGGUAGGCCUAACACAUGCAAGUCGAACGGCAGCACAGUAAGAGCUUGCUCUUACGGGUGGCGAGUGGCGGACGGGUGAGGUAUACAUCGGAAUCUACUUUUUCGCGGGGGAUAACGUAGGGAAACUUACGCUAAUACCGCAUACGACCUACGGGUGAAAGCAGGGGAUCUUCGGACCUUGCGCGAUUGAAUGAGCCGAUGUCGGAUUAGCUAGUUGGCGGGGUAAAGGCCCACCAAGGCGACGAUCCGUAGCUGGUCUGAGAGGAUGAUCAGCCACACUGGAACUGAGACACGGUCCAGACUCCUACGGGAGGCAGCAGUGGGGAAUAUUGGACAAUGGGCGCAAGCCUGAUCCAGCCAUACCGCGUGGGUGAAGAAGGCCUUCGGGUUGUAAAGCCCUUUUGUUGGGAAAGAAAAGCAGCAGGUUAAUACCCCGCUGUUCUGACGGUACCCAAAGAAUAAGCACCGGCUAACUUCGUG
rnacentral:rRNA from 1 species